GACGAACGCUGGCGGCGUGCCUAAUACAUGCAAGUCGAGCGGAAGUUGGAGAGCUUGCUCUUCAACUUUAGCGGCGGACGGGUGAGUAACACGUGGGCAACCUGCCCUGCAGAUCGGGAUAACUCCGCGAAACCGGUGCUAAUACCGAAUAGUUUUCGCCACCUCCUGGUGGCGUACGGAAAGACGGUUUCGGCUGUCACUGCAGUAUGGGCCCGCGGCGCAUUAGCUAGUUGGUGGGGUAACGGCCCACCAAGGCAACGAUGCGUAGCCGACCUGAGAGGGUGGUCGGCCACACUGGGACUGAGACACGGCCCAGACUCCUACGGGAGGCAGCAGUAGGGAAUCUUCCGCAAUGGACGAAAGUCUGACGGAGCAACGCCGCGUGAGUGACGAAGGUUUUCGGAUCGUAAAACUCUGUUGUGAGGGAAGAACAAGUACCAACUAACUACUGGUACCUUGACGGUACCUCACCAGAAAGCCACGGCUAACUACGUGCCAGCAGCCGCCGUAA
rnacentral:rRNA from 1 species